GGAGUUGUGGCUCAGUGGUAGAGUGCUCACCUACCAUGGGUGAGGCACUAGGUUCGAUCCUCAGCAUCA
rnacentral:tRNA from 1 species